rnacentral:rRNA from 1 species
UAUUGGACAAUGGGCGAAAGCCUGAUCCAGCCAUGCCGCGUGUGUGAAGAAGGCCUUCGGGUUGUAAAGCACUUUCAGCGAGGAAGAACGCCUAGUGGUUAAUACCCAUUAGGAAAGACAUCACUCGCAGAAGAAGCACCGGCUAACUCCGUGCCAGCAGCCGCGGUAAUACGGAGGGUGCAAGCGUUAAUCGGAAUUACUGGGCGUAAAGCGCGCGUAGGUGGCUUGAUAAGCCGGUUGUGAAAGCCCCGGGCUCAACCUGGGAACGGCAUCCGGAACUGUCAAGCUAGAGUGCAGGAGAGGAAGGUAGAAUUCCCGGUGUAGCGGUGAAAUGCGUAGAGAUCGGGAGGAAUACCAGUGGCGAAGGCGGCCUUCUGGACUGACACUGACACUGAGUCGAAGC